GCCUGGAUGGCUCAGUCGGUUGAGCAUCCGACUUUGGCUUAGGUCAUGAUCUCGCAGUUUGUGAGUUCGAGUCCCACGUUGGGCU
rnacentral:tRNA from 1 species